GGAGGGGGUGCGGAGGGGAAGAGAGAUCCUGAGUGAUGAUUUAGAAGGGCAUUUCAUUUUAAACACCCUAAAGUCAGCUAUGCCGUAGCAAUAUCCCUUCUACAUAAGUAAGGUUCAAUAAGAAACAUGAAAGCUAGGGACAUUAAUUAUGAAAAUAGGCUAAACUUGAAUUUCCAGACAAACUAUCAAGAUUAAUACAAAAGCAAAGUUUUAUAGGUAUUAAAUUAGGCAUUCAGUGCUCACUACUAUAAUCCGAAUGGAUCAACCUCACUA
rnacentral:misc_RNA from 1 species